rnacentral:rRNA from 1 species
AGGGAAUCUUCCGCAAUGGACGAAAGUCUGACGGAGCAACGCCGCGUGAGCGAAGAAGGCCUUCGGGUCGUAAAGCUCUGUUGUCAGGGAAGAACAAGUAUCGGAGUAACUGCCGGUACCUUGACGGUACCUGACGAGAAAGCCACGGCUAACUACGUGCCAGCAGCCGCGGUAAUACGUAGGUGGCAAGCGUUGUCCGGAAUUAUUGGGCGUAAAGCGCGCGCAGGCGGUCCUUUAAGUCUGAUGUGAAAGCCCCCGGCUCAACUGGGGAGGGUCAUUGGAAACUGGGGGACUUGAGUGCAGGAGAGGGAAGUGGAAUUCCACGUGUAGCGGUGAAAUGCGUAGAGAUGUGGAGGAACACCAGUGGCGAAGGCGGCUUCCUGGCCUGUAACUGACGCUGAGGCGCGAAAGCGUGGGGAGCAAAC